rnacentral:rRNA from 1 species
AUUGAACGCUGGCGGAAUGCUUUACACAUGCAAGUCGAACGGCAGCACGGACUUCGGUCUGGUGGCGAGUGGCGAACGGGUGAGUAACAUAUCGGAACGUAUCCAAUAAUGGGGGAUAACGAGUCGAAAGAUUCGCUAAUACCGCGUACGCCCUACGGGGGAAAGCUGGGGACCUUCGGGCCUGGCGUUAAUGGAGCGGCCGAUAUCUGAUUAGCUAGUUGGUGAGGUAAAGGCUCACCAAGGCGACGAUCAGUAGCUGGUCUGAGAGGACGAACAGCCACGCUGGAAGUGAGACACGGUCCAGACGCCUACAGGAGGCAGCAGUGGGGAAUUUUGGACAAUGGGGGCAAGCCUGAUCCAGCCAUUCAGCGUGAUUGAAGAAGGCCUUCGGGGUGUAAAGCUCUUUCGCAAGGGAAGAAAACUUAGCCGAUAACAUUGGUUGAGGUUGACGGUACCUUGAUAAGAAGCACCGGCUAACUACGUGCCAGCCGCCGCCGUAA